GCAGGCUGCAACUCGCCUGCAUGAAGUUGGAAUUGCUAGUAAUCGCGAAUCAGAAUGUCGCGGUGAAUACGUUCCCGGGCCCUUGUACACACCGCCCGUCACACCAUGAGAGUCGAUAACACCCGAAGCCUGUGAGCUAACCGCAAGGAGGCAGCAGUCGAAGGUGGGGUUGAUGAUUGGGGUGAAGUCGUAACAAGGUAGC
rnacentral:rRNA from 1 species